rnacentral:sRNA from 1 species
GAAGCCGUACAAGUGCUCAGAGUGCAGCAAGGCCUUCAGCCAGAAGCGAGGCCUGGAUGAGCACAAGAGGACGCACACUGGAGAAAAGCCUUUUCAGUGUGAUACAAAUUAAAAGAAAAGGAAGAAAUACUCUGAGAAGAUUAAGAAACCGAAAUUUGUCAUUUAUGCAUUAUGGCUAACUUCGGCUGAUAUUUUGGGGGAAGAAAAAGG